rnacentral:rRNA from 1 species
GUGGAUUAGAUACCCUGGUAGUCCUGGCAGUAAACGGUGCAUGCUUGGUGUGAGGAGAAUCGACCCUCUUCGUGCCGGAGUUAACACGUUAAGCAUGCCGCCUGGGGAGUACGGUCGCAAGAUUAAAACUCAAAGAAAUUGACGGGGACCCGCACAAGCGGUGGAGUAUGUGGCUUAAUUCGAUGCAACGCGAAGAACCUUACCAAGGCUUGACAUCCUGGGACCGUCUGUGAAAGCAGAUUUUCUAUUCGUAGACCCAGAGACAGGUGCUGCACGGCCGUCGUCAGCU